rnacentral:rRNA from 1 species
GACGAACGCUGGCGGCGUGCUUAACACAUGCAAGUCGAACGGUAAGGCCCUUCGGGGUACACGAGUGGCGAACGGGUGAGUAACACGUGGGUGAUCUGCCCUGCACUUCGGGAUAAGCAUGGGAAACUGGGUCUAAUACCGGAUAGGACUCCUGGCUUCAUGGUUGGGGGUGGAAAGCUUUUGCGGUGUGGGAUGGGCCCGCGGCCUAUCAGCUUGGUGGUGGGGUGAUGGCCUACCAAGGCGACGACGGGUAGCCGGCCUGAGAGGGUGACCGGUCACACUGGGACGGAGAGACGGCCCAGACUCCUACGGGAGGCAGCAGUGGGGAAUAUUGCACAAUGGGCGGAAGCCUGAUGCAGCGACGCCGCGUGAGGGAUGACGGCCUUCGGGUUGUAAACCUCUUUCAGCUAUGACGAAGCGCAAGUGACGGUAGUAGCAGAAGAAGGACCGGCCAACUACGUGCCAGCAGCCGCCGUAA